rnacentral:rRNA from 1 species
GGUAGUCCACGCCGUAAACGAUGGGCACUAGGUGCUUGGGGGAGCGACCCCCCGGGUGCCGGCGCUAACGCAUUAAGUGCCCCGCCUGGGGAGUACGGCCGCAAGGCUGAAACUCAAAGGAAUUGACGGGGCCCGCACAAGCGGUGGAGCAUGUGGUUUAAUUCGACGCAACGCGAAGAACCUUACCUAGGCUUGACAUGCGCGGGGAACGCCCGAGAAACCGGGCGCCCCUUCGGGGGCCCGCGCACAGGUGCUGCAUGGCUGUCGUCAGCUCGUGUCGUGAGAUGUUGGGUUAAG